AUAUUUGCCUGUCAGGGAAGAUACCAUGAUCACAAAGGUGUUUUUCCCAAGGUGAAGCUCAUUCAUUGUACUCUGGGUGUGCUGAACCUGUGAUUUCCCUAAAUGCAUGAAACUCAGCUAAAUAAUCUGUGGUAGUAGGGGACUGCAUUUUUGUUUCCUGAA
rnacentral:snRNA from 1 species